rnacentral:rRNA from 1 species
UACGUAGGGGGCAAGCGUUGUCCGGAUUAUUGGGCGUAAAGAGCGUGUAGGCGGCCAGGUAGGUCCGCUGUGAAACUCGAGGCUCAACCUCGAGAUGUCGGCGGAAACCAUCUGGCUAGAGUCCGGAAGAGGAGAGUGGAAUUCCUGGUGUAGCGGUGAAAUGCGCAGAUAUCAGGAAGAACACCCGUGGCGAAGGCGGCUCUCUGGGACGGUACUGACGCUGAGACGCGAAGCGUGGGGGGAGCGAACAGGG